UGUGUGUGUGUGUGUGCAAAUAAUGUAUAUAUAAAGAUUUAUAUAUACAUAAUUUACAUAUACAUUAGGUUUAAAGCAGAGGCAGUUGUUCCAUCUUGUUCGAAAAAAGAUGGAUGGUUAUUUUGGUCAACUUGUGUUCAUGCAAUAAAAAUAUAAAAGCUACCUAUAAUAAUUUUUCAAUCAUUGACUCCUGCAACAAACUUAGACUUAAAAGAGUUAAAGUAACUGGAGAUAAAGAAGUAUGUGCAGGAUUUAAUUUCACGACUAAAGAGGACUCCGAAGAAGAAUUAAAGUUCUGGUGGAUCAAAAAUCGAGGAAUGAUUUUGUUUUAACUGGUUUGCAUUUUAUGAACGAAGUACAUAAUAUGAUUUAAAUUGAUGAUUUAUAGUUACACCUAUUGAAAUUCUGUAUCUCAAUGAUAUCCUGGCUUAUCGAUACGAUAUCCUGUAAAUCCACUUACACACAUAAAUUUUACUCGCACACGUAAAUCCGGUAAAUUAACUCACACACAUAAACCUUAAA
rnacentral:lncRNA from 1 species